AAUUAUGCCUUGAUCAGUUGAGAUUUUGAAUAAAUCUUCAAACCAACUGGCAAAAUUGAUCACAAAUUAUCAUAAAGUGAUUGAUUAUCUCUUGAAAUACAUGAAGUUGGUACCAACUAAUAAUCGAAGCUAAAUAGGAACUCAUGCACACAUACUUUAUAAG